GAAGCUGUCAUACGUCAGCCCCGACCAAUCAGAGGGCAAGAAGCACAGAUAAGGAAGAGAAAAGCUCCACCGGUCACGUCACCCAUGGCACCGCUCUCAGAAGACACCACCUGCUGUGCUCGCU